rnacentral:rRNA from 1 species
UACGGAGGGUGCAAGCGUUAUCCGGAUUCACUGGGUUUAAAGGGUGCGUAGGAGGGCAGGUAAGUCAGUGGUGAAAUCUCCAAGCUUAACUUGGAAACUGCCGUUGAUACUAUCUGUCUUGAAUAUUGUGGAGGUGAGCGGAAUAUGUCAUGUAGCGGUGAAAUGCUUAGAUAUGACAUAGAACACCAAUUGCGAAGGCAGCUCGCUACACAUAUAUUGACGCUGAGGCACGAAAGCGUGGGGAGCAAACAGG